ACCCGGGUGGUGGAAUUGGUAGACACGUACGUUUGAGGGGCGUAUGCCGUAAGGCUUGCAGGUUCAAGUCCUGUUCCGGGUA
rnacentral:tRNA from 1 species